UCUGUCUGCUUAAAUUGCGUAUCAAUAAUAGAGACAUAGUAUACGCGUGGAUUUCGCGUGGUAGUGACCCCCUGUUCGCGCAGGCGUGUGUCGCACACGCGUGCCGCGCACUGGUCUCAGAUAGCAACGAACGUGACCGUAUUCUAUUGUUGCAGUGAAAUGUACUUUCGAGUACGACCCACUGCUUAGUAUAUGCACGUGCUUCGGUGCGAGCAAUAUACAUUAAACUAUAGAGACCGCUGUUUCUUCUUUAAACCAGAGGAAGGAUACGGCAAUAACAGGUCUGUGAUGCCCUCAGAUGUUCCGGGCUGCACACGUGCUACAAUGAUCAUUGCACUGUGCAUCUAACCCAAUGUGCGUGGACGCCGCAUGCAUGUACUCCUUGUGGGUACACGCAUUGCUGAGCGACCACGCCGAACCUACUUCGAAAGUAAAAUUUCUCUGUGGGUAAUCCAUUAGAAGUAAUGACUCGCAUAGACCAUGGCACACCAAAUGUACGCGCAGGUCUACCCGGCUCGCCUUUGUGUGAGUGCAGUGCGUAGCUUGUUGUUUCGUACGUGCCACUCCGUAUUAAUUCGUACGUGGGGAUAGAUCAUUGUUUAAUUGUUGGUCUCGGUCUUAACUAGGAAUGCCUUGUACGGGUCUCUGGUUCAACAUACCACCCGGAAUACGUCCCUGCCCUUUGUACACACCGCCCGUCGCUCUUACCGAUGGAUUAUGCUAUGAAUCUAUAGGACUGCCAAAGUUGCCUCGGCUGCUUAGUGGAAAUAUAUAUGAAUAGCGGAUCUAAA
rnacentral:rRNA from 2 species